rnacentral:rRNA from 1 species
UACGAAGGGGGCUAGCGUUGCUCGGAAUCACUGGGCGUAAAGGGUGCGUAGGCGGAUUGUUAAGUCAGGGGUGAAAUCCCGAGGCUCAACCUCGGAACUGCCUUUGAUACUGGCAAUCUCGAGUCCGGAAGAGGUGAGUGGAAUUCCUAGUGUAGAGGUGAAAUUCGUAGAUAUUAGGAAGAACACCAGUGGCGAAGGCGGCUCACUGGUCCGGUACUGACGCUGAGGUGCGAAAGCGUGGGGAGCAAACAGG